rnacentral:rRNA from 1 species
UACAGAGACUGCGAGCGUUGUUCGGAUUCAUUGGGCGUAAAGGGUGCGUAGGCGGUCGGUUAAGUCGGAUGUGAAAUCUCACAGCCUAACUGUGAUAGGUCAUUCGAAACUAGCCGGCUUGAGGACUGGAGAGGAGACUGGAAUGGUCGGUGUAGCGGUGAAAUGCGUAGAGAUCGACCAGAACACCGGUGGCGAAGGCGGGUCUCUGGACAGUUCCUGACGCUGAGGCACGAAAGCCAGGGGAGCAAACGGGAUUAGAUACCCCGGUAGUCCUGGCCCUAAACGGUGUUCACUUGGUGUGCGGGGAGUCGACCCCCUGCGUGCCGAAGCUAACGCGAUAAGUGAACCGCCUGGGAAGUACGACCGCAAGGUUAAAACUCAAAGAAAUUGACGGGGGCCCGCACAAGCGGUGGAGCAUGUGGCUUAAUUCGAUGCAACGCGAAGAACCUUACCUGGCCUUGACAUACAGCGUGAAAGGUAGUGAAAGCUAUCGACGGCCCGAAAGGGCGCUGGGGCUGUACAGGUGCUGCAUGGUUGUCGUCAGCUCGUGUCGUGAGAUGUUGGUUUAAGUACCGCAACGAGCGCAACCCCUGUGACUAGUUACCCCAUGGCAACAUGGGGGCCUCUAGUCAGACUGCCUCGCUUUAAACGAGGAGGAAGGUGGGGAUGACGUCAAAUCAGUAUGGCCCUUACGGCCAGGGCUGCACACGUGCUACAAUGCUCGGUACAGAGGGCUGCAAGACCGCGAGGUGGAGCAAAUCCCUGAAAGCCGAGCUCAGUUCAGAUUGCAGGCUGCAACUCGCCUGCAUGAAGCUGGAAUCGCUAGUAAUGGCGCAUCAGCUACGGCGCCGUGAAUACGUUCCCGGGCCU